rnacentral:rRNA from 1 species
CAGAGGGGGCAAGCGUUGUUCGGAAUUACUGGGCGUAAAGGGCGCGUAGGCGGCCUGUUAAGUCGAACGUGAAAUCCCCGGGCUCAACCCGGGAACUGCGUCCGAAACUGGCGGGCUUGAAUUCGGGAGAGGGAUGCGGAAUUCCAGGUGUAGCGGUGAAAUGCGUAGAUAUCUGGAGGAACAUCGGUGGCGAAGGCGGCAUCCUGGACCGAUAUUGACGCUGAGGCGCGAAAGCCAGGGGAGCAAACGGGAUUAGAUACCCCGGUAGUCCUGGCCCUAAACGAUGAAUGCUUGGUGUGGCGGGUAUCGAUCCCUGCCGUGCCGAAGCUAACGCAUUAAGCAUUCCGCCUGGGGAGUACGGUCGCAAGGCUG